rnacentral:snRNA from 1 species
AUCGCUUCUCGGCCUUUUGGCUAAGAUCAAGUGUAGUAUCUGAAAGCAGGGCCUGAGCUAGGACACCCAGUGAGGAAGCACCACCAUCU